rnacentral:sRNA from 1 species
UGGAAACGAGAAUAAAGCGUGAAGGAUAACGUUGCGUCAGCAACGGCCCGUAGGGCGAGGCGAAGCCGAGUCAUCCUGCACGACCCACCA